AGUGAAAUUGUUGGGUUAUAUAGUAAUUAAAUGUUUAACUUUUUGAGGAACUGCAAAACUGUUUUCCAUGGUGGCUGUACCAUUUUACAUCCCCACCAGCAAU
rnacentral:pre_miRNA from 1 species